rnacentral:rRNA from 1 species
CAGUCGCCACGGGAACACCAGCACCUCGAGUGGUCAGGAGGUUUAUUGGGCCUAAAGCAUCCGUAGCCGGUUGCAUAAGUUUUCGGUUAAAUCUAUGCGCUUAACGUAUAGGCCGCCGAAAAUACUGUGCAGCUAGGGAGUGGGAGAGGUACACGGUACUCGAUAGGAAGGGGUAAAAUCCUUUGAUCUAUUGAUGACCACCUGUGGCGAAGGCGGUGUACCAGAACACGUUCGACGGUGAGGGAUGAAAGCUGGGGGAGCAAACCGGAUUAGAUACCCGAGUAGUCCCUGUCUCUUAUAC